GACGAACGCUGGCGGCGUGCCUAAUACAUGCAAGUAGAACGCUGAAGAGAGGAGCUUGCUCUUCUUGGAUGAGUUGCGAACGGGUGAGUAACGCGUAGGUAACCUGCCUUGUAGCGGGGGAUAACUAUUGGAAACGAUAGCUAAUACCGCAUAACAAUGGAUGACACAUGUCAUUUAUUUGAAAGGGGCAAUUGCUCCACUACAAGAUGGACCUGCGUUGUAUUAGCUAGUAGGUGAGGUAAUGGCUCACCUAGGCGACGAUACAUAGCCGACCUGAGAGGGUGAUCGGCCAAACUGGGACUGAGACAAGGCCCAGACUCCUACGGGAGGCAGCAGUAGGGAAUCUUCGGCAAUGGGGGCAACCCUGACCGAGCAAAGCCGCGUGAGUGAAGAAGGUUUUCGGAUCGUAAAGCUCUGUUGUAAGUCAAGAACGGGUGUGAGAGUGGAAAGUUCACACUGUGACGGUAGCUUACCAGAAAGGGACGGCUAACUACGUG
rnacentral:rRNA from 1 species